AUGGAUAGCAAGCCUUCUCCAACACCUUAUGAUCCCAGCGUGACACUCAGAAAGAACAAGAAAGAAACGAGAGAUCAAUUAAGAUACUCUCAAAUUGUCGGUUCACUCAUGUACUUAGCUAGCGCUACAAGACCAGAUAUCUUUUUUGCUGUGAGCAAACUGAGUAGGUUCAUGUCCAACCCGGGUGAUGAUCAUUGGCAUGCACUAGAAAGGGUCUUGCGCUAUCUGAGAGGUACUAUGAGUUACGGAAUUACUUAUUCAGGGCAUCCUGCUGUGCUAGAAGGAUAUAGUGAUUCAAAUUGGAUCUCCGAUGUUGAUGUACUUUACGCAACAAGUGGGUAUGUAUUUACUCAUGGUGGUGGCGCAGUGUCAUGGAGGUCUUGCAAGCAAACCAUAUUGACGAGGUCAACUAUGGAAGCAGAAUUAACUGCUUUGGCCACAGCUACUGUUGAGGCAGAAUGGCUGCGUGAGCUCUUGAUGGACUUGCCGGUUGUUGAAAAACCUGUACCGGCUAUUCUUAUGAAUUGUGAUAACCAAACGGUUAUCGCUAAAGUGAACAAUUCUAAAGAUAAUGCAAAGUCAUCAAGACACGUGAAAAGACGUUUGAAGUCUGUCAGGAAGUUGAGAAACUCCGGAGUAAUAACUAUUACGUAUAUACAAACAGACAAAAACCUGGCAGAUCCCUUUACAAAGGGACUAUCACGAAAUGUGAUAGAUAUUGCAUCGAGGGAGAUGGGUAUGAGACCCAUAGAAGAUGCUGUCCUACAGAGCAGUCUUGAAAGAACACACCUAUAUGAGUUCUGA
rnacentral:rRNA from 1 species